AAUAUACAAAUUAAAUCUUAAAAAAAUUAAACUGCAAAUUUAAUUGAGAAUUA
rnacentral:tRNA from 1 species